CCGCUGCCCCUGGCCUUCAGCUGCAGAUUUAAUUAAUUUAAUUGCUCCUUCCCUUGCCCCUUGUCAAAGGAUGUUGGCCUGCUUCUGGGCGCUCUCCAGGUGUUCUGUAAAUGACAGACACGGGCUUCUUCCAACACACUAGCACAAAUAUCUUCUUCCUAAAACUCCAUAGCUUCAACAGAGAAUAUUUCCUUGGUUUUUUUGUGUGUGUCUGUGUGCUGUCAUACUUUUAGUGCCAGCAGAAAGCGUAAGUAUGAUCCUGACUAUUCCAAUCGAUGUGUUUGCUGAAUUUGUGAACAUUUAUUUAUAUUCACAUUAUACAGUGCAUCCCCUCAAAAUGAAAAGAGUACCCCUUUUCACGGGUGGAUGAAGAAAGAAAUAUGAACAGCAAGUCUGGCAAGAAAUGUGGCUGUCCCAGCUCGGGGGCAGAGUUGUGGCAUGGACUGCUGCUGCUCACAUAUCAGAACUAUCCAUGGCACAAAAAGCAGGAGCAUGAGCUAUCUGAUUUUAUGUGAAAUUCCUUUAGAUCCCAAUUUCUAAAAGCGCAAUCAGAUCGCUUGGUGCUGCAGAGUUUAAAGUAGGUGUGAAUGUGAAGGUUCCUUGGAGAAGGAAAGACACCUCAGUUGAACAGAACACAGGAAAACACCGAAAGGAGAAUUGAAGCAAAUGUCUUACUUGGGACACCUUACCCCUCUGAGCAAGAGGUGCUGGGCUGGUGCCAAGCCCAGGGAAAGCCAGCAAAGUCCCUGCGAGCAGCAGCAAAGCUGAAAGUUGUCUCGGAGGAAAUUGCUAGACCAAGACAGGGAUUUGUUCCUGCUUUAUGUUCGUGUUCAGCCUGGGAAGCUGAAGUCUUCCAAGGAAGCAACCAAGUAUCAGCAAGCAGAUUCUGUUCCUUACUCCUGAGAAGCUAAAUCCGAAGAAAGAAAGACAAGAUUUUCUUCUGAGAUGUGGUGUGACUACAGGUUCUGCUAUUUGUUUAUGAUGUUCCUCCAGUUUACAUAGUCACAGCUGCUUAUUUAGUACAUAGGUAAUCCUGUAGCAAAAUAAUGUUAGCACAGUCAUUCUUAUGCCACUUCUGGGUCUGGUAUUAAGGAUACCAACAGAGGAGUGAGGGUAUCCCCGUGCUUCUUGGUCUUUGCCUGCCACUGAGCUCCACAGUGCCAGAAGAGUUCAGCUGCCUUAGGUGAUGACAAUAAGGAAAGAACAUUUACUGCAGGUUGUAGGUACUCAUCUAAGCACUAUGUGGUGUGCUGUAAUUGCAGGCUGCAUUAGGUCAUGCUUUGUCACAAGGCUUAUUCCAAACAGAAGUCGCUUCCAUUGGAUUGUCCUUGCAGCAGCAACGUAAAUGAACAAGCUUGGGCAGCUUUGCCAGAAAUGUCUAAAACUAAAUAAUUAGUCAACAGCCAUUCAUGCAGCAUAUGACAGAAGUGCUAUUAUUGUCAGGGAGAGUACGGAGCCUGUGACUACAACUCACCACUCAAUCUGAACAGUUAGUUGAACAUAACACGCUUGUAAUAAUAUUUAAAGCUUAAUAUCUGAUGCGUGUAUGAGAGUCCAAAUUCACAUGACAUACAAGAAAAAAACAACGACUGGUACAUUAGAGACAUGAAUUCCUUUUAAGUUAGCUAAGGAAAUUGGCAGGUAGUUCUUAAGAACUUGUUUGUAUACAAAUCCCUUUCUGCUGCUGGAAAUCCAGCAGCAAUGUUCAAACUUUAGGCAAAAGAGCUCACAAGCUGCCUACAGACCUGUAGUCCUCAGGUAAUAAAGGAGGGGGAAAGAGCCCUCACUUAUUCCAAGUGCUCUGCAGCAUUUUGAGAAGAAAAACGAAUGUGAAUCCUAGGGAUAGUGGGCCACAGUGCUGAUAGAGCAUGCCCUACAGAAGUAAGUUGGGUGCAAGGCCAUGAUGAUGCAGCUACGCUGUCAUGGGUUCCAGACACACUCCCUUUGCAGUUAGCUGAGACAGUUAGCUGGACUGUUUUCCACUGCCCAGUGUACAAAAUGCCCAAUGUUUGUAUAGCCCUUAGCAAAAUAGGACCCUAUUCUUGAUUGGCCUCAAAACAGCACAGUGAUUCUAAUUAUAAAUACCAGGGAAAUAAAUGAUCACAGAAGGCAUUUGAUGUAUUUUUUCCAGCAUGCAACAGCAGUACCAAUACGUACAAGAGCACAAUGCAAUCAGAUUCUGAUGUAUGCAAUAUAUUUUUAACACAAUGGACUUCAUCCAGACUUUUCUGGCACCAUCUUCUAUUGUCUUUCAUCACUUUGCAGUGAAGUCAUGUAGGGUACUCCAGACUUGAGGUGGCUGUGGUCUAGUGCUGAGAUUAAUGCUGAAUAAAAAUCAAGUUAGUUAGUAGAGCUUAAAUAACUGUUAGGCAAAUGAAUAUUUGUUUGUGGAAAGAAACAACUGCUGAAUAGAUGAAGUAAGUCAUUUUAGUCCCUGUCUUCGUAUCGUGUGCUGCAAAAUAAAUGCAGAUCUGAGAGAGAGACCCACUUCUGCUGCUGCCCACUCCUUUCUACUUUAAUAUUGUAAAUUGAAAAUGAUUUGAAAAAAAAAUAAUAUCAUAAAAUAAUAAUAAUUAGAAUUCCACUGAUGUCCCUUUUAUGAUAAUAUAUUUGAGUUGUUCUUCAAAAAUCAAAUGAAGAAACUUCAGCCACAGUAGAGGUCUUAACCAAAAUUAAAGUCUUGUACUGAAAAUAUCAGCAUUUCUUAUGAGCUCACCUGGAGGGAGAUUAUGGGGCAACAAGUAAUGAGAUGGGUAAAGGACUGCUAUUCUUACUUCAUUUGGCCAAGAUCUACUCAACAUCUUGGAUUGUCCUCGUUUUUGUUGUGUAUUAAAAUGGUGCUAAGUGAGCUCAAGCAGGGCUUGGUGUUACAGACACUGUGAGACUGUCUCCUGGCAUUUUACAGUCAGAGGAGGAGUAGAGAGAAAGGAAUGAACUGGAGAGAACUUUUACAAUGCUCAUAAAACUGAUGUUAGAUCUGUGGGUGGCAUUUGCUGACAGCAUAGUCUGAAGGGACAAACAAACCAAAGGCAGAAGUGGUGAGGAAGGGAAAUGAAGAGAAAAAAAAGAGCAAGGAUGGAAAGAAGGAAACACAUGGUAGGCAAUGAAGUAAAGGUGAAGUGGCUGUGAAUAGCUAAUCACUGAAAAGAAAACAGUGUUGAAAGUAGAAGUACAUGGGAAAAAGCAGCACACAGAUAGAAUCAGUGAGUUGCUGAUAAUUCUUAGUCAAGCUGCUUUGGUUGCUUCACAUGCCAGCCUUGAGCUUCAGGCAGAAGAACAAUUGACUGUUACGACAGUCUGGAUUUAGUUCAAGGUGAAUUACGUGUGCAAUUUCAGGAUAAUUUAUCUUCGCCUGCCUUAAAAUCCAAAAGAAAGACACCGCCAACUUUUGUUCUAGCUUAACUAUUAAUUCUAUUGAUAAAAUUUUGUUAGUCAUCUUCAGAUUUAAAAAAAAAUCCAUGCAGUCAUAAUUAGAAUUCUAUGUAUAUAGAUACGAUUUACUAGGCACUCUUCUGACACAGGGAAAAUGAUACCAUUCCCCUAAACAUCAAAGAGAUUAAGACAGACAGCUCUUGGCAGAGGCCAACAGAAGGAGCAGCAAAGUAGGAGUAAGAUUUUUUCUCGGAUAACUGUGCCAGGAAGGAAAUCUUUCAGUGUUAAAGUUCAUAGAUUUGGUGAGCUUGCAAAGGGGGCUACAUGGGAAGAUGUUGUUUGACAUCGUAAGCCUCUUGUCUGGACCUACUAACACAUUCUCCUCCCUGAAGUUGAAGAAUCCAGGUCACCUUGUAAGUAGGCAAACUGCUGCUGCAGAAGUUUCUCCUUAGGUCGUUACAUCAGUAUCUCACCUUUUGCUUGCCAAGCUUGUUUAGUACCGCGGCAGGAGUCUUCUGAAAGAGACUGCUGUGCAUCUUUGAGGACAAUGUUAAAAUUAAGCAAAUGAUGCCAGAGGUUUGUGUUUUGCUCUCUGCUGCCAUGAAUGAUCAGCAUGGGCAUAUGAUAAAGGGUAACCACUUAUUUGUGUGAGUGACUGAAAGCAGUUUUGCCAACGGGGAUGUUUGGAACAGCAUUUAAUCUGAAAAGAUAAUUAAUGUCUUCUUUGUUGUGCAACAGAAGCCUAUGGAAAGAGAAUCAUAUUGCAUCAUAUCUCUCAAUAACAUACAACUGGGUGGCUGAAAUUGGGUUUAACUAGACAGACAAAAAUAACUUCGGGAGGAGCAGAGAAAGGUUAUGGGUCAUGUGAUGCUGAUUUGUUUGUUUAAAGUUGACCUAUCCCUGGAGCAGAGAGUUUAAUGGGUUCCAGUAAGGACUUGCACCCGGCAUGCAGAGCUGCAAUUACUGUGGGAUGGUUCGAAGUCUGUGUGUGUGUGUGAGGCCUGGGUCAUGUCUGUUCGUGGGGGCAGCAGUAGCUUUCGCAGAGACUACAGAUCAGACUUCCUGAGCAUCCUUCCACUGCCCUGUGAUUGACAAUCAAUAAAAAGAGACAUGAGAUACACUGGGUGAAAAACAGGGCAUCUGAGAUUUCACUGAAGUUGUUCAAACUUGCAAGUAGAAAAAGAAAAGGAGUUUGUUGGCUAAGACAUUCUGAAUACUUUUCUCAUUUGUAUAAACCUGUAUGUAUAAACCUGUAAAUAAAGGUUAUGUUUCCCUUAAA
ensembl:lncRNA